AAUUGGCCUUUGCCCGCCCCUCCUGUCAGGCAGGAUACCCCCAUGGCCUUGGGCUUCCCUGGGCUUGGUGGAGGAGGUAGCUGCAGGCGGCAGGAGGGAGGCAGGUACUCAUUCCCUGGGGCCCAUGCAGGGCUGGCACAGGCUGGCUGGGCCUCGCCGUCCCUCUCUCCAGGCUCCAAGCAGUGCCCCCACCCCGUCACUCCUUUACGACUAUUCUCUCUGUUCCCCACAGCGUCCCUGGUGGACGCACCCUCGGAACCACCUUGCACGGAGCCCAGGCCCGGACCAUUGCACACUCGCCCUGGGAGACAGCAGCUUCACUGAGACCACAAUUAUUCUCCAGUUCCAAGGAGGAAACCGAGGCUCCAAGAGACAGAGCCACUUGCUUGAGGUGACAUCCAGCAAAAGGCUGAGCCUGGCCUGGAGCCAGGGCCACAGGGCCACGCUCCACCCUGGCCGUGAUGCCCCCUUGGGCCGUGGACGCUCCUUCUAUACUGCAGGGUCCUGUAUGGCCCUGGAGGGUGGCAAGGGCUUGGGAAUUCUUUAGCUCUGGUGCUGGGGAAUGUUCAGAUUCCAGGCAAGAAAAUGACAGGACUGCCUCUGUGAGCCACCCACCCCGACCCACCAGGCCUGUGCUGGCCCCACCUGCUCCUUCUCGAAUCUGCUGAGGGCUUGCUGCUGCUUCUCCACCAGCGCGGCCAGCACAGCUCUGUCCCUCUUGCUGUCCAGGCACCUGGGGGGAGGUGGCAACAUCACCGCCAAUCUUGACAGCCCGUGCAAGUAGAUAUAGAAAGUCACAGACACAGCCAGCCCUGGUCGGCCACAUCAACCUGGAAUACCCUCCCAAGGUGUGGGCACCAGGGAGGACGCAGCCGUGCGUGGACAGGCUCGGCAGCCUUGGGGUAGCCAGAUGGCCCCAACCCCAGCUGUCACUCUUCCACCCCUCACAGCCACUUUUGGAUUUUUGGGUCUAAAGAGAUAAAGCCUGGCCGAGAGCCACCCCUGCCACCCUGAAGACCCAGCCCAGGCCAGUGGGUCCUCUGGGGAGGGAGGUGGGGGUCAUCCACAUCCACCCCCCCCCCCCAUCAUGGAAUAAACACGCUCAGCCUGGCCCGCUCAGACACCGGGUGAGGAUGUUAACUGGAAUCACCUUUCCCGAGACCAAUGCGGCUUCCAAAUGCAUUCUCACUGACCCGGUCAUUCACUUCUAAGGUUUUACCUUAAGGAAAUGAUCUAUCUUCAUUAAUAAUGGCAAAACGUUGGAGACAACCUAGAGGCCCGGAGAUCCGGGACAAGCGAAGGCAGUUACAGCCCUGUCUCUACGCCGGUGCGCCCUGUGUGUUAUAACGGUUAGGCAGCGGCACAGAAAGGUUUUCCUGACAUUUAAAUUGAAAACGCAAGUUACAAAACAGCACGUGCCGCCCAUUUGCAACGUUGAAAUAGCCAUGUGUGUUUCUCCCCAAAACAGAGUAUCCGCAACUGGGCGUGGUGGCUCACGCCUGUAAUCCCGGCACUUUGAGAGGCCGAGGCGGGCGGAUCACCUGAGGUAGGGAGUUCGAGACCAGCCUGACCAACAUGGAGAAACCCCGUCUCUACCAAAAAUACAAAAUUAGCUGGGCUUAGUGGCGCACGCCUGUAGUCCCAGCUACUCGGGAGGCUGAGGCAGGAGAAUCUCUUGAAACUGGGAGGCGGAGGUUGCAGUGAGCCUAGAUCGCGCCACGCGCCACUACACUCCAGCCUGGGCAACAAGAGCGAAACUCGGUCUCAAAAAAAACCAAAACAAAACAAAAAAAAGGAUGCACAAAGAUGAUCUCAGAGGUCACCUUUGGAACGAUGGGGGUAUUUUUUUAUUUGUGUAUUGGGUACUUUACUGCCUUAUCUAAGUUUCAGCAAACACCUACUACUAUUUGG
rnacentral:antisense_RNA from 1 species